AACGAACGCUGGCGGCAGGCCUAACACAUGCAAGUCGAGCGCCCUUUCGGGGGAGCGGCGGACGGGUGAGUAACGCGUGGGAAUAUGCCCUUCUCUACGGAAUAGCCUCGGGAAACUGAGAGUAAUACCGUAGACGCCCUAUGGGGGAAAGAUUUAUCGGGGAAGGAUUAGCCCGCGUUGGAUUAGGUAGUUGGUGGGGUAAUGGCCUACCAAGCCGACGAGCCAUAGAUGGUGUGAGAGGAUGAUCAGCCACACUGGGACUGAGACACGGCCCAGACUCCUACGGGAGGCAGCAGUGGGGAAUCUUAGACAAUGGGGGGAACCCUGAUCUAGCCAUGCCGCGUGAGUGAUGAAGGCCUUAGAGUUGUAAAGCUCUUUCAGCUGGGAAGAUAAUGACGGUACCAGCAGAAGAAGCCCCGGCUAACUCCGUG
rnacentral:rRNA from 1 species